rnacentral:tRNA from 1 species
GCGCUUGUAGCUCAGCUGGAUAGAGCGUCAGACUCCGACUCUGAAGGCCGCAAGUUCGAAUCUUGUCAGGCGCGCCA